rnacentral:rRNA from 1 species
CCUACGGGAGGCUGCAGUGAGGAAUAUUGGUCAAUGGACGGAAGUCUGAACCAGCCAUGCCGCGUGCAGGAUGACGGCUCUAUGAGUUGUAAACUGCUUUUGUACGAGAAUAAUAGUUCUUACGUGUAGGGAUUUGAAUGUAUCGUACGAAUAAGGAUCGGCUAACUCCGUGCCAGCAGCCGCGGUAAUACGGAGGAUGCGAGCGUUAUCCGGAUUUAUUGGGUUUAAAGGGUGCGUAGGCGGGCAUUUAAGCCGGCGGUCAAAUGUCGGGGCUCAACCCCGGCCUGCCGUCGGAACUGGGUGCCUUGAGUGGGCGAGAAGUAUGCGGAAUGCGUGGUGUAGCGGUGAAAUGCAUAGAUAUCACGCAGAACCCCGAUUGCGAAGGCAGCAUACCGGCGCCCUACUGACGCUGAGGCACGAAAGUGCGGGUAUCGAACAGGAUUAGAUACCCCUGUAGUC